rnacentral:rRNA from 1 species
UACGUAGGGGGCAAGCGUUAUCCGGAUUUACUGGGUGUAAAGGGAGCGUAGACGGUGUGACAAGUCUGAUGUGAAAACCCGGGGCUCAACUCCGGGAUUGCAUUGGAAACUGCCAUACUUGAGUGCAGGAGAGGUAAGCGGAAUUCCUAGUGUAGCGGUGAAAUGCGUAGAUAUUAGGAGGAACACCGGCGGCGAAGGCGGCUUACUGGACUGUAACUGACGUUGAGGCUCGAAAGCGUGGGGAGCAAAC